rnacentral:rRNA from 1 species
ACUCCUAACGGGAGGCAGCAGUGGGGAAUAUUGGACAAUGGGCGAAAGCCUGAUCCAGCAACGCCGCGUGAGGGAUGACGGCCUUCGGGUUGUAAACCUCUUUCAGCGGGGACGAAGCGAAAGUGACGGUACCCGCAGAAGAAGCACCGGCCAACUACGUGCCAGCAGCCGCGGUAAUACGUAGGGUGCAAGCGUUGUCCGGAAUUAUUGGGCGUAAAGGGCUCGUAGGCGGUUUGUCACGUCGGGAGUGAAAACUCAGGGCUCAACCCUGAGCGUGCUUUCGAUACGGGCAGACUAGAGGUAUUCAGGGGAGAACGGAAUUCCUGGUGUAGCGGUGGAAUGCGCAGAUAUCAGGAGGAACACCGGUGGCGAAGGCGGUUCUCUGGGAAUUACCUGACGCUGAGGAGCGAAAGCAUGGGGAGCGAACAGGAUUAGAUACCCUGGUAGUCCAUGCCGUAAACGUUGGGCGCUAGGUGUGGGACCCUUCCACGGGUUCCGUGCCGCAGCUAACGCAUUAAGCGCCCCGCCUGGGGAGUACGGCCGCAAGGCUAAAACUCAAAGGAAUUGACGGGGGCCCGCACAAGCGGCGGAGCAUGCUGAUUAAUUCGAUGCAACGCGAAGAACCUUACCUGGGUUUGACAUAUGCCGUUUACCCAUAGAGAUAUGGGGUCAUUUAGUUGGCGGUUUACAGGUGGUGCAUGGUUGUCGUCAGCUCGUGUCGUGAGAUGUUGGGUUAAGUCCCGCAACGAGCGCAACCCUCGUCCUAUGUUGCCAGCACGUAAUGGUGGGGACUCAUAGGAGACUGCCGGGGUCAACUCGGAGGAAGGUGGGGAUGACGUCAAAUCAUCAUGCCCCUUAUGUCCAGGGCUUCAAGCAUGCUACAAUGGCCGGUACAAAGGGCUGCGAAACCGCAAGGUAGAGCGAAUCCCAAAAAGCCGGUCUCAGUUCGGAUUGGGGUCUGCAACUCGACCCCAUGAAGUCGGAGUCGCUAG